rnacentral:lncRNA from 1 species
AUGAGGAACAAUAAUGUCAGGAAAGCCAAAUCCACUACCAUCAAUCCAAAAGUUUGCUUCAAACUGAAUGUCAUUAUAGGCAUGAUUUCAAAAGUGAAACGAUUGCCAAACUACCACAGUCUCCAAAUAAAAACAACAGUAAAUUUAUAUAGCACGUAUCAUCUGGGAAGCAUUGUAAACUGGUAUUAUCUGAACUCUAAAGUGAAAACUUUAGUAACGAACAAGGAAGAUGUCAAACUUAAAUAUUUGCAAAGAGAACUACGAAAGGAAUGGAAGCAUUUCAAGGAUAAGACCAUGGAAAACACCUUGUAUUACAAUGGAAUUAUACCAGGCUUUGGAAAAUGGAACCAUUACUGGACAAGCAUUCCCAGGAACCUAAAGGAUACUCUAGUGAAUUAUUAAACUUAUUAAACCUAGCUCAAAAGAAGCUUGAGUUUCAGCAAGAAUUGUUGAUGUUUUUAUUUUAAACCACUAUAGAAUAUAUGCUUUGCCUUAUGCUUCCUUUAUUUUCCACAAAUCAUCAUCCUAAAUAAAUAUAUUCAUCAUAAUAAAUAUAAUAAUAAA